rnacentral:tRNA from 1 species
CUCCGCUUGGUGUAGUUGGUUUAUCACGUUCGGCUGUAAUUGUAUCUUGCCACCGAAAGGUCCCUAGUUCGAUUCUGGGAGCGGAGA